UGGAUGGGGCCAGGCAGUGUGUCUGCGUACCCACGGGUCACCCACUCCAGCUGGAGGACAUGGCUCUUCUAGGCAGGCAGCAGUGAGCACGUGCCAGGAGUUGAAAGAGUCAAGAAGAGCAAACCCUUAAACCUCAAGAUCCACAGCAGCAUGGGCAGCUGUGAGAUUAUCCCUUCCCAGCAGUGCUCCCUGCUCCUCUUUCCUGGGACACACGCCCUUCUUGCCAUCCACCCGUCCCAUGUACACUGAGGCCAACUUCUCCACAAGUGUGACAGAUUGACAGAGGAGAGCAAUCCUGUAUGGCAUUCGAGGAAGCCUCCGCUCUUUCUUCCCCCUUCUCUUGGUUGACUGAUUACAGGGGUUUUUCAUAACCUCUUUUCCAUCAUCUUGACAGUCUUCUGGUACCUCUGAACUAAGGACCAUCAGCACUCACUCCAAGCCUCUCCUCCUGAAGAACAAUGUAACUGCUGACUGGCUAGUGUCUCCUGUACAACCCCCAACUCAGUGGAAAUAAAAUAUUGCUUAAAACGUG